ensembl:lncRNA
UCUCUUCUGUCUCCCUCAUUUGGUCUCUCUCUCGUCACCUUCUCUCCCUCACUCACCCUCUCUGGGGGACACGUGACGGUGACGGGGGCGAAUGUUUCAUUCCUUCUCGUCUUUCUCUCCAGAACCUUCUAACCCGAUUCCACCGACUGCGGCUCAUUCAUCUGCCGCUUUGUUCGGUCUCCGUCUGCCAUUCGAUGAGCGUGAAGCACAUUUGCAAACGAGUGGAUUGCGAGUCACGCUUGAUUGAUGAAGCUCUUAAUUUAUGGAAAACACAGCAAUUAUUUUUUGCAGUGCUGUUGUACUCGUCUAAAACUAUUUAAGAACUUAUAUGUGGCCACCAGCAGUUUGUGAAUGUUGCGAUCGGUCGGAUCCGUGUCCGAUCUGGACUCCUCACCCUUUGUUGGACCAUCACUUGGUUUUUGUUGUUUCUGUGGACGAUACUUGAUGUGAUCGUCUCUAUGAUCAGUAGUCUGACCGAGCAAUUGAUACAGGACUCUAUGGUCAUAGUCAAGAAAAAAAGAACUAAAAAUGUGCUAGAUCAAUUAUGUGUUUUAUUUAUUGUAUUGGUAAUAUUGACCAAUCACCUUUGAGUCAGAAGGCAUUGACUGAAAUGGAACCAUUGGAACCCGCCUGCUUGUCACCUGAUGAUCCAGCUGUUACCUGUUUAGAAAGUUACCUUGUUAGCUUAACCCUUCGACGGGCCGCCUCUAAGCCCCGCCCCCAGGAUGCCGAUUGGCCCGUGCCUCGGCUUACAGGACAAGGAGUCACUUCUUGAACUUUGACAAGAUAGACUCCACGUGCUCUUGUGACAGGUGACAUUUGCUUCAGGUUCCACUUCCUCCACGUCUCCGUGAGCCGUUAAACUCCAUCUCCUGCCGCAGGUGGAACCUCUCACCUCCGCCUUCCCCGCCGAUUCACACUGUCCCAUCUCCUCCUCUCAGCAUAAUUGGUGUCGCAAAGUACCAUCCGGCUGGGUUCUCCGCUUCCCUUCUGUGUACUGCGUCUCGCUACGGAGCAGAGGUGCAGGAAGCCGAGCUCGCUCCAGUUCUGCCCUCGAUCAAAGUCAGAAUGUGAGGGGAAAAAGUCUGGAAUGAAGCUCUGACUUGCUGCUGAGUGACACCUUCUCAAUGGGCUGACGCAUGCUGCUCCAACCAGAGAUUAAAAUGGUGGUUUAAUUCCUCUCGUUGUCUGGCUCAGCGUGACUGAACUGUUUCAGUAGUGAUCAAACCCCAGCCACGCAGAACGCUGUGAGUUAGAUUCCCCUGCAAAGCUGGAUUUCCUGCAAGCUUGACGAAGAGUCAUUCCAGAGUUAAGUUGAAUCCCAAGAACAGCGUGUCAGACCCUCAGGCGUGAGAACCCGGUCUAAAUCAGCUGCAGUAAAACGACCUCCAACAACGAGAGAGAGGAGACAGAUGCCAACAGCUGGGAGCCACUGAGGGGACGACUUUGAGGCCCCCGAGAGGUGAAACGCCUCCUCAGCGUCGAGGCCCAGGAACGAGUCCUGAUCACCAGAGGAGGUAAACGGCGAGGAGAGCGUCUCCAUCGCGAGUCCAUCAGACUCAGCAGUCUCCUGAGAGCGAGGACCCGUCCACCUCGGACCCCCUGGGGAUUCUUUUGAGAUCUUUAAACCUCUUGGAUCCUGAUUAUGUGAAUUACGAAAAAAUGGAUAUCAGAGCAUCCUGAGUACAACCAACAUCAGCAGCGGCAGAUUAGCAUUUCUCCUUUGAUUAAACCCUUGUGAACUAUUUUGGGCUUCAAGCUUCCCGGUGGACCGGCCACUUGUCUGAAAGGGUACUUGAUGAAGCUGAUACACAAUGUGGAGGUGGAGCAGGACGGGGGGGGGAAGCUCUCCGCUCAUAACGCGUCCAGCCAACUCAGCAGGCUCCGACAACCAAAUUGGCACUUUGCUUUCACUCAGAAACGUCCGGGUCGAGAGGUCGAUUGUCUGGCAGACACCCAUGAUGGAAUCCAGAUAACCGAGCCACGCACUGCAGGUACGAGGGUUAACAGCCAGACGCUCCAUCUCAUGCCUGCAAUCCCACGCGAGGGCUCCAAUGGCGCCCUUAAGGCGCCUUUUAAACACACAUUUCACCAGAUCUGCUUUCCCCCCCAAUGGGAUCCGACCUCUCUCAUUUCGUCCAUCAGCAAAAUUGGCAAUUUGCUUCUCGUCUGGACCACGUGAGAGCGGAUGUGGCUUCGUUUCACGCACGUCCAGCCAUCGCGGCGAGGAGGCAAAGGCCGGUUUGAGAUCGGACGCGGAAGCUGGUCAGAGCAGUUCCAGUCUGACCUUUUACCACUGGGAUGGUUUUGCAAUGAGGUCCAUUCCCCAAGGUGUCCAGCACCUUGUGUUCUCGUUAGUUGAUUGAUUAAAAAGUCUUCCUGCAUUCCCACCUGGAUGGGACGAACUAUUUGAGUCUGAGACAUUUAUGUGUUUGGCUCUAAAUGUCAGGCUGAACAAGCAGCAUCUCUUCGUUUUGUGUAAACCUCGGUCGGCCCGCAGCGGCAAAACAGUUUUUUCACCAUCGAAACGAAAUAGUGAAAACCCUUCUCCUCUUCUUCUCGGUGCUAUUUGGAGCAUCAGCAGCAUCGUGUGUUCUUUUAGUGCCUUCACAUCGGCGUGUGCUGUCGUUGGCGGAGAAACUCAACCUGUGUAUCGGGAUUCAUACUUCAUGGAUGAAUCGUUGUUGUGUGUCUGGUUUUUAUACGGUGGGGAAGGUUAUUUUAACUUUUGGAAAAGUUGUUGAGCAGAAAAAAGGGGCAAGACACGCAUUUGAUAUCUUUGGAAUACAUUUACAAAGAGGAUAACAACGUGCAUUGAGGUUAUGAAGUCGGAUGGUGAAGAACGGCGUUCGUUUUGACUGGAAGGAGCUGCUGACUGACUGAGUGUCAGUGAGCAAACGCAGACAAUAGAAAUACAAUAAUCCUGCAGCAUGAAUUUAUAAUGAGCCGAAUCACAGCAGAACGUAUAGUAAAAGGUGGACAGGUCAAUUCUGCCGCAACCUACAUACAUUUAAUCCGUCCUGUGUGCUCAAAAGCUCCAGGAGAGGAAACUGGAGUUGAGUGACUCACUCGAGGAGACAGUGGAGAAUCGAACCAACGACCUUCACUUGAAGAUAACGUCUCCUCUUCAUUCCAGCUUCAAUGAUGUUAUUCAGAACCUGAUUUCCAUCUGCCAUACUUUUCAGACCCUGUGCCUGAGAAGAACCACUUUUCGGGAGUUGUGCUCACACGAGUUUUUGUUGCCUGGAGAUCCGCAGAAAGUCGCCUUUCGCUGCAGUUUUGUGUCGCAACCGUGUUGGAAAUCAGCUGGACUCCCACAUGGACGUCAGGAUCAGGGUCCACGAGGGAUGGCCGUGAGGAGAGGCUGCUGAGAUGGAUGGAGGUGGAGGCGAUGGAGAGCGGGGGAAAAGUCUGAGGACAUCUGGUGGAUGAAAGGAAAUUAGCAACGUGCAGACAGCUCGAAUGUGACAGUUUGACUCACACAGGGGAAGAGCAGAGAAGAAGGUAGAAGGAAUUACAGAAUUAAAAUGUUUGAACCAACAGUUGUAAGGUGACAAAAUACAAACAUAAUGAUUCUGUGUGUUCUGAGCCAGGUGAUGAAAACCUUCUGAUGUUUGGAUUUGAGCUACUAACAUGUGAUGUAGCCGUUCGAGCCGGUGACAUUCAGCAGGCUGUAUUUUAUCGAGUAACUAAGUAUUGUAAAAUAGAUGUAUUGUAAAAUAGAUGAAUAGGUUCGUGUCAAUGAACGGCCCUGAUUUACAAUGCUUAUACAAAGAGACGCACUAAAACGGGAAGGCCUUCAAACGAGGCUCAGCAGGAGAAGUUCGGAGGAGAAAGCACGCUGGGGUUGUUGUGGUAACAACUGCCCCCCCCCCCUUCUGUGUGGUGGGAGGCGGCUGGUUGGAGCAGCAGUGGGUGCUGUUGCUCCCGGGUUGCAUCAGAUGUUUUAUGAGGGAAUGGGGACGCGACGGAGGCGAAGGAAGGAGGCUGUGAAGAUGGAGAUGGAAGAAAAGGAUGUUCUCACAGGACCUUUUCACAGCGUUCAGUGCGCUGUGGGUCAUUCUGCCCCAAAAGACCGAAUCCCUCCGCUGUUACCGCGACCAACGGUCCAACGUCCCAGUAACACAGAACCCAUCUACGCCCGUGAUGUUCCCCCAUUGUCCUUCAGGGAGACUCAGCAAAGCCUGCACUUGGUUGUUGAGUCCACUGGAGGGUGCAAGGAAGUGGAAAAUACUUCUCUCCCCAGACUAGGAAUGAAGAGCACCGAGCAGCUGUGGGAUUCCUCCACCUCCACCUCCACCUCCACCCACUCACACUCCUCGGGGCCUUCUCCUGUCCAUUACCCCUCCAGCGGAAUGAUAAAACAUGAUUCAACCCUUUUAAAAAGCCUUUAGUAGCUGACGCCCUGUGAAACUACGGGAGGAGAUGUUUGAAACGAGACAUUUGAUUUCCAUCAUUCAUAUUUAGUUCUUUUUCAAGUGGAAACGUGGCGCUUUGGCUCAGAAAGAAGUCGUCGGUGAGGAGAGCGGAAUGUGUCAGCAGGAGAAGAAGCGAACACAUCGGAACGAAACUACUCUGCAGGAUUAAACUGUGACCAAUUUAAAAGCCGGACUGUGAAGCUUCUGAUUCACUGCCGUUGGUUCGUAGACGCGAGAUAGAAGCACCGUCAGACGACUGGUCAUUGGGCUUCUCGGCUAAUCACUCUUAACCAGCUAUUAACCAAUUAUUAAUUAUUUGAACAAGGAUAUAAGGAAUGUAUGUAUUACACAUUUGAAAAAAACUUUUUUUUUUUUAAAUUAAAAAAAUGAGAUGAAAAAUAACAUAUAAUAACAACAUAGUCGACAAAUGUGUGUCAGACAGUUAUUUUUAAAUGUCUUCCGGAUGCUACGAGUUCACGUUCAGCGGGUCGUUGCAGUUUGAUUGACGCGAUGAUGUCACAGGAAGAGGUUGGGCUCCAUCCGUCAUCACUACUCCCCAUUGGCUGAGCUGUUUUUGGAUUCCAGAUAUUUCUGACGGGAUGCUGUUUGUAGUGUGGAGAUCUGAAGAUGUGGCCUAGAUUCAAAACACACACACACACACACACGCACACACACACACACUCACAACUUAACGUCCACAAAUCUGGACUGCACUGUGCAUUCACACACAUGAGUACCCAAAAAACACCGAUGCGCACUCACACACAUACACGUAUCCAGCACAGACAACUGUACCCUCAGAGGCUCAGAGAGCACAGCCACAAAGAGAACACACACACACACACACACACACACACACACACACACACACACACACAGUGGGUGGGAGGAGAGCUUUGAGUGCAUACACUCUUUUGUAUAUAUGUUGGUGUGUGUGUGUGUGUGUGUGUGUGUGUGUGCACGUCACCAAACACUAAGCCUCGUGCUCUGAGAUUUGCACUCAUUUCCAUUUCUACCAAAACUGAAGAGGAAGAGCAGACAAGGAGCAAAGGAAGGAAGGAAGGAAGGAAGAGGAAGAGGAAGAUGGACGACUCAGAAUCACAAAUAAAUCCCCAACAGAAGAGACGCAGGAAAGACGGCAAACAGGAAGUGAGAAUAGAAGAUGUGCUCUUUAAAAAUUUGCUUUAAAAAAUAAAUCCUAUUUAUUUGCGUUUAUGCUCAAAAAAUUGUUUGUUCGGCACGUGGACGCACACACCGACCUGUGGACGCUGUCCACUGACCACGUCCACAGGUGGACAGACAGAAGUAACCGCGUCAGGCCUGGUGUGCCUUUGCACAGAAGAUUAAGCUAAUGAGCGCAGCGCUAAUCCCGCCACAGCACUGGCUCUCUAAUGCCGGCACAGGCCUCACACAGUGUGUGUGUGUCUGUGUGUGUGUGACAGGCAACCGAGCAUCUGACCUCUCUCUCUCUCUCUCUCUCAGAUGCAAAGCUGCUAAAGCUAUGCAUUUAUAUUUAUAGUACUUACAGUAGUAUUACUCUCCGUUCUGACUGGUUUCAUCCAGCCUCCGUGCACAUAACAUAUGUAGAUAUUCCACAAAUUGAUGUAGCGUGACAUCGGCGUAGUUACGGAGGAGGAGGUUUGUUCUCUCUGGUUCGUCAGUAGCUGCAAUGCGCCGUUAUUUUAACCCAAAUGAUCAUCUUUUCCUCCACUUGGAUUAAUAGUCUUGCUGCCCUCUUAAUUAGAGACAUGUCAAUCACAGUAAGCCCCGCCCUAAAGCAUCCCCUGCUUUCAUGGUCUGUUUGACUCUAAAUGGACCGUCAUGCUGUGUUGAAGAAGACUUGAAGCGCGUGAUGCAGGGUGCGCUCCGUGUUUUCGCUGUAGAGGAGAAACCCUUCGGCUGGUCAGACGCCCGGCGGCCUCGCAGGGGGCGGGACUCCCGUCCUGCAUCGGCGAAUGUCUGGUGAAGAGUUGACUUCUUUCACAUCAGCUUAGUUAGUUCUACUCGUAUCACUGUGCACUGAAGGGAAAGUUUCACACUUCUUUAAAUAACUUUUAAAUUCUCUCCCUCUCUCUCUCUCUCGCUCUCUCUCUCUCUCUCCCCCACAGGCGAUUUAACAUGUAUUGUGUUUUUGUGUAGGCAGAUGUUUGACUGGAUGUUUUUCCAGUGCCCUCUGCUCAUGUUUACGCGCGUGUUUGUGUGCAUGUGUGUUUGUGUGGGCGUUUUCUUUGCCUGCAAUUUCUUCGGAGGACACAACUGUACUUGUGUGUGUGUGUGUGUGUGUGUGUGUGUGUGUGUGUGUGUGUGUGUGAGUGUGUGAAAAAAACAACAGGUUGUCUAAUAAUUGUUCUCUUCGUGUUUCAAAAAUAGGAUUUAGAUUGUUUGUUUUUUCUUCUGUCGUUUAUUGCAUGCAUGCAUGAAAGUGUGUGCAUUUAAAUAUGUAUUUAUGUGUGCGUGUGAGUAUCCAUAUGCACUGUGUGUGUCUGUGUGUGUACAAUGACAGGAGAAGAAGAUGCCAGAAUCAUGAAUAUGGAUCAGUUGCUCUGCUGAGGACGGAUUAAAAUACCAAAAGGAAAGUCAAGUCAGGUUGAUAAUGAUGAAUAAAUAGAGGUUACAGGAUGAGUCACUGCAUUAUUUUACAUUUUACUUACUACCUGAAGCAAACAUGGAAGCCAAUGUGUGCUAUUGUUUUACAAGUCACUAUGGUUACAAGUCUUGCUAGUUUCUCUCUUCCAGUAGUUGUGUUGAAUAAUUUUUCCUUUACUAUCGUAUCAUUUCUGUCGGGUUGGUAUUUGAUGGACAGCUGUGCUGCUCCCUGUCAGCUGAUUAUUAGUAAAUAAUGUGCCUGCAUACCUGGAUAUAUCUGACUGCCCUCUUAUGGCCUGGCCUCUGUUCUCUGAGCUCUUAAAGAAUACGUGUAAUUCAAAAUUAAUUUGAUUUUCAUAUCAAAAGACUCUUUGUAAAGGUUUGUAACAGCCAAAUUCCUUAGAUUUUUCCUCACUCUCUUUAAAUGUGGAGGUUUAACAUAGGAUAACAUAGGAAUAACAGGAAUAACAGGAAUAACGUAGGAAUAACGUAGGAAUAACAUAGGAAUAAUGUAGGAAUAAUGUAGGAGCAAUGUAGGAAUAACAGGAAUAACAAGGAUAACAUAGGAAUAACAUAGGAAUAACAUAGGAAUAACAUAGGAAUAACGUAGUAAUAACAUAGGAAAAACGUAGGAAUAACAUAGGAAUAACAUAGGAAUAAUGUAGGAAUAAAAUGAAUAACAUAGGAAUAACAAGGAUAACAGGAAUAACAUAGGAAUAACAUAGGAAUAACGUAGGAAUAACAUAGGAAUAACAUAGGAAUAAUGUAGGAAUAAAAUGAAUAACAUAGGAAUAACAAGGAUAACAUAGGAAUAACAGGAAUAACGUAGUAAUUAGGAAUAACGUAGGAAUAACAUAGAAAUAUAUAUGUUUAUACAUGUAUAUAUAAUUAGAAGGAAGCAUCCUCUGUUUUCUUAACUUCUUGCCUCUUUACCACUUUGCUGUCUUCUUCCAUAUCUUCUCAGUUCCCUUUUCAUUACGUCCCCCCACCCCUUCCUACCCCCCGCUCCAACACACCUCCACCUCCUCAACACGCCGUUCCUCCCUUCUUCUGCCCAAUCCGGUCUGGUCUUUUGAUCUCGCACGCAUUGUUCACGGUAGCUUACCCUUCCACCCCUCCACCCCGCUACGCUGUUACCACGACACUCAGCGACUCGCUCAAUGUGAGGGGCGGGUGCGGAUUGUGAGAAUUUGGAGCGAGGGAGGUUGAAAAGAGCUGCUUUGGAGAUUAGUGUUGGGGGGGCGAGAAGGCAAAGGAGAAAAGUGAAACCGAAAGAGCCAAACAUGGUUACAUGGUGACAAGAAGGUCCAAUCAACGGAGAAUGACUCCGUGAACAUCCAUGCAUGUCCCUGUAGACAGUGUCCCUCCAAUGUAAGUCUCCCGACUCUUUCCCGCCUCCUCUUGCCCCCCUUCACCUUCCUGACCCACCUGCUGGGCUCCAAAGGCUUUCUCUCACUCUCCUGCUGGGCCCCACCCCGCCACACCAGUAACAUCUUCUAUCAUCAGACACAGGAGGUAAUUAGCUCUCUAGAUGACUGGCACAGUUACAUUGAGGUGGGAAAUUAAAUAUUUAUUCAUUUAACUGGUGAAUAAAUACAAAAAUCAGACAAUGAAUAAAUAAGAAGGGGUAUAAAACUAAUACUUUUUUCUUUAAAGCCGACGUAAAAGAUGAAAAGGAAGAAAUAAGCCAGAGGAACUUCUCAGAAAUAGAGGAGGAACGAUUGUGAGAGUGUGACAGACACAACAAUAAGAGAGGAUUAACGGAGGAAGGAGAGGCAGCGAGGGGAAAGAAAGUAGCACCGAGGCUGAGGAAGAGGAUGAAGAAGAGCGCGAGCGAGGAGAAAGAGAGACGCUCAAUUUCAUUCUACUACUUCCCACACAGAAAGAGAGAGAGAGAACCUCAAGAGUGGAAAGCAGAGGGAGACUGUGAAACCACCUCUCCUCUCAGAAACAAGACUCCCUCUCUCCCUCCCCCUCUCCCUCCCUCUCUCUCUCCUGUCUCUGCCAUGUGACCGGCCAACGCUCCGAUGCCGCUCUCUUCUUCUUCGCUCUCUCAUCACUAGCUCGGCUCACACUGAUAUCUGACUGAGGAAGAGGAAGAAGAGGAGGAGGAAGGAGAGAGAGAGAGAGAGAGAGAGAGAAGGCAAGAAGAAGAUAAAGGGGAGAGAAGAGAGAAAAGGAUGUUCUCCGUUUCACUCAAGUGCCGCUUAGGGGUCAUCAGGCGGCGAGUUAAGGGUAUGUGUGUGUGUGUGUGUGUGUGUCAGAAAGAAAGACACUUCUGCCCUCAUGCUGCUGCUGUGUGUGUCUUUAGUACCGGCCAUGUCUGCUUGCAUGUGUACAUUCUGUACGCACACACAGAAAUGAUGCCUACUUCCUGCUGAUGUUCCUGUUGUCAUUUACUCGCAUCCUCUCCUUGCCUCUUCUCCUCCUCUACAUCUUCCUCCUCCUCCUCCAUCCAGCCUGCGGUUUGCUUCUUUGCUCGUAUUGAUAGAUGUCCACAGGAGGCCUCGGAUGGAGCUCAUUGUUUAGUGAUGGGUGUUAUUUGGGGUUCGUUAAUGGUUUCAGGCCCUGCCGGAAUCGACCAGAAGCAACUUGUUGGUUGUUUCCCGUGGCGAGCUUCUCCAACAGGGAAACUUAAAAGUGACUAAAAGGAAGUUUUAGGGAAGUGAUGUGACGUCUGAGUCAUAAAGAGUUGUUUGUGUGGUGGAGAGAGAAGCGGUGGAUUAUUAUUCUGGAUCAUUGACUGAGUGAACAAAGCUCACUUUGUCUCGUUUCAUUCAAGUCUUCAGUUGAGUCAAACGAAGCAGACGAGGACGUUUAUUAUUUAUCGCGUUUUUUUGGUUCAGGGGGUAAAAACCAAACCAGCAAACAACCAGCAAAUAGAAACAAUGUUUGUGUUGCUUGCAAAGCUGCAGCCACAGACUUUCAUGAAUGUCGGUUUUAUGUCUGUAUUUUGAAGAAAGGGUUUAAUUAUCUGAAAUGCAAAACAAAAAAGCACAAAAACUGAAUUAUGUUAACAUGAACAAUGCAAUACACCUGUUUAAUAUGUCCUGUUUAAUUGUUGACAAAAAGGAUAUUUCCAAGCUGCUAUCAGUGAAGUUCACAACUGACUUUUAGCAUUUUGGGACCAUUUGUUUAAAGUCAAACAUAGUUGUCCCCUUUUAUAUAUUUGUCUUCGAUUCAUUCAUCAUAUCGGCAUAAUGUGCUAAUGUUUCACUCCUAAUGGUACAAAUGUUGUGAUGUUCCAGACCUGCAUUGUUCCUGCGAAUGUAUUAUUAUUAUAAUAACUCUUGCUCACUCGCUGUAUGUGGGUUAGUAAUGCUUCAUGUAUGACGUGGGGUUGGAACUGUGUGUGCGUGUGUGACAGAGAGAGAGAGAGAUGCAUGCUGGGUCGCCAGUGGAGCUUUGGGCCAGUUUGUUGUUGUGUUUUGAUUGAUCUUCAAAUCUCUGCAAGCUGUUGGGACCUCUGCAUCCUCUCCCUCUGCUUGCUGACUUUCAUUGUGAAUGAGCCCACUGCUCACAGCAUGUGGCCUUCACACGUGUGUGUGUCCUGCGUGUGAAGGAUGUGCACCACGUGUGUGUGUGUUUUGGCAUGUUUGAGUGAGGAGUGACAUUAAACCUCGUCUGAACAGGACUGUGUGUGUGUGUGUGUGUGUGUGUGUAGAUAGAUGGUGUUUGGUCUCAAUGUGUCGGUGGUUACGACCGGAAGCUGCAGCUGAACACGAAUCCUCACUUCUCAUCGAUGUCAGUGAUCAUCAGCCGGUUUCCACACUACGUUUGAACGUGUGUGUAAAGCAGGUGAUCACACACUCCUCCGGUGAUACUUAACAAAUAGUUUAUCUUCAUAUUGUCUGGUCAAUUAUCACUCACCAAUACGUAGAGUCCUUUCAAAAUAAAACGCUGUCUUCAAAGGAGAAUGUGACCAAACCACUUAAAUAAAUGUAACUAGUGUUUGAUUUAAAAGUUAACUUUGGAACUGGGCGCGACUGAAGUACGCCACUGCUAGAGGUGGUGUAGAAGCUAGUGGUAGGUAGGAGGUGGUAUAGAAGGUAGUGGUAGGUAGGAGGUGGUGUAGAAGCUAGUGGUAGGUAGGAGGUGGUAUAGAAGGUAGUGGUAGGUAGGAGGUGGUAUAGAAGCUAGUGGUAGGUAGGAGGUGGUGUAGAAGCUCGUGGUAGGUAGGAGGUGGUGUAGCAGCUAGUGGUAGGUAGGAGGUGGCGUAGAAGCUCGUGGUAGGUAGGAGGUGGUGUAGAAGCUCGUGGUAGGUAGGAGGUGGUGUAGCAGCUAGUGGUAGGUAGCAGGUGGUGUAGAAGCUAGUGGUAGGUAGGAGGUGGUGUAGAAGCUAGUGGUAGGUAGCAGGUGGUGUAGAAGCUAUUGGUUAAAUUAGGCCGAGCUUUAGGAAGUGUGUAUGAAUCCUCACGUGGUGGAAGUCCAGCGAUCAAUAGAGAGGCGUAAGAUAAGAGCUUCAGGCGCUUCAGAGAACCAAACCACCUCAAAGUCUACGAGGCCUCGUGUCUAAUCGAGGGUCCCGCUCAGCUUCCCGACCGACUUACAUUAUAGUGCUGGAAUGUUUUCACUUGGAAGUGACCACGAAACGCAGCAGUGAGGAUUGGUCCGUUUUGGAGGACGAAUAGUAUCUUAAGUGGGUGCAGAUUGUAUCAGCGGGCAACGGCCUCAGGAUCUGAGUGCCUCAGACCUCCAGGGGGAAUGGAACAGAUGAUCUAAGUCCUGCCUGUUUUUAUCGGGUCGGUCACACCUCUUCAGCUCCUCUGUUGGGAACCAGUUACUGUUCAACUGUGAUCUUCUCCCCUGCAAGUAGCGGCUCCCUCUGCGAGCGUGACCGGAUCAAAGGGGCCGUGAUCCAAUAGACUGAAGAACCUGAGUCUCUGCCUUGCUUUAGUUUGUGCAGCUGUCCGUGGUGCUCGUCUUCGUACGGCAUCUCCGUUUGUGUUGAGGCCUUCGUUUGAACUCGUUCUAGAGGAUCAGCCUUUUACUGUCAGCAUUAAACCUUUAACGCGCCAUCAUGCGCUUCACAUCCGGCCUGGUCAUAAUUUGGUAGUAUUGCAAGAAAUGUAUUUUCAGUUUGCUUUGCUCUGGUCCACUGCUUUCCUCUCCUGCAGUUUGAAUGUUAAAAAUCAUCAUUCCUCUCCACAGUAGGUGUACUGUACUGUACUUCAGGAGCGUGAAGGAAGUCUGCUGAAGGAAAUGAGAGUGGGAGCAGAUGAAUGACGGUCGAAUGUCUUGUUUCCAUGCGAUAAACUCCAUCUCGCUAUCUGGAGGACCAGAGAUCACUGACCACAUCUUUUAGUCCGCUAUUCUCCUGAGAGGCCACGAGACCAAGUACUCAAAUAACCCACUGAGGUUGUUCUCCGCCUGUAGUGAGCUUAGGACACGUUUAAAGCGUACGUGAUGCCUCUGUAGGUUUCUUCUUAUUCUCACCUCAUGAGAUGUUCCAGAGCACAGAACAGAUCCAGCGUGCUGCUGUGCAGUUAGAUGGUCCAAAGGUUUCCAACAUGGGUCCUAAACCUUUGACAGAUUAUGUAAAAACAGCAUUCAGUAUUUUCAAAGAAGGCGUUUCAUGUGAUUUAUGGGACAUUUAUUGAUCAAUUACUGAACGGACCCACCGGACUCAAGCCAGAGGAAGAAGCUUGAUUAGAGAAACAUAUAAAACUACUACAAGAGACACAAAAACAUUCCUUAAUUCAUUCAUUCUUUAGAGGUGAAAAACGGCUGCAAAGAGACUGAGAGGCCACGAGCUCGUAAUGCAUCGUCCUCCACAGCAGGAGCAGCAUCAAAGCCCCGAGAAACCUGAUGGAGAACCCAGCGGGACACCUCGCUCCCUGGAGGCGGGACAUCUGCACAUGUCUCACACACACACACACACACCCACACACACACACACACACACAACAAAGGACAUAUUCACACAAACAUGUGUACAGGCCACAAAGUAGCCAGGUUCCAAAAUAACUCACUGACAAUGCCGGUAAUGAACUUUUUGAGGAACCGACAUUAAAGCCACAAUAAAACCGUUCACGUUAACGUUGAGUGUUGGAGGAUUUCCCUUCGUCCCCAGAAACGAGGCCCAUGGAUUCCACUGAUGACUUUGGCUGAUAACUGAAAGUCUUAUUCUACUUCUCUGUCGAGCCCCCUUUGAUGAAACAGCAACAUUGAAGGCAGUAUAUAAGAAUAGGGUUGAGUAUAGAUUGGACGUAUUUAUUUAAAUUUGAAUUUGAUGAAGUUCAACAGAGAGAAAAGUCACGCGGAGUGACUUCCUGUGUCGACGGAGUCUUUCUCUGGCCUGAUUGGACAGACCUCCGCGUUGAACGUGUGAUGUUCACAUCGAGCACUUUAAUUCUACUGCUGAUUCGUAGGACCCUCUGUGCGCUCUGACAUCAUGCUGUACCCCCCCCCCCUCGGGACACAUUAACAAAAGGUUAAAUGAGGGGAGAGCGAACGAGACAUUGUGUGUGUGUGUGUGUGUGUGUGUGUGUGUGAGACGCAGUGUAAAUACACAACGCGCCGGAGGGCUUUCGUGCCCCCGCUCCCUCAGUUAAUUAGAUGUAUAGAAUUCCAAAGACGGGGGGGGGUCUUUGCCGCAUUGUAAGAUCUUUUUCGGGAUCCGGUACUGAGAUCCCUGUUUUCACGGGGGGCUCGAGGGGGCAGCGUAGUUGUAUCAGUGAAAACUUCCACAGCUGUCACUCACCUUAAUGAACCGUCAUCUAAGAGAAUUACUGCCUUGACGUUCCUUCACCUCAUCCGUUAGCCUCAAACCGAGCCAAACACGUCUUCAAAUCCCCCAGAAUGCCGUUAGACACACAAAAGUCAACUCUACUCAUUAUUAUUAUGAUCUGUGUUUUUUUGAUUCAUGUGGAUUUUCUAGUUUUGACUAAUCUGGAGCAUCAGGGUCAUCGCGGUACCACACACAUCGCACUUUAAACCCACUGCAGAUGUUCUGAGUUGGUGGUCAAAUCCGUUAAAUACCCAACUACGAGCACUAUUAGUGCAUUCACACCAGCGGCAGAGCAUUCCCCCAGUGAGGAAUGCCUUUCUCCCAACGCUCACCUGGACACAAAAUAUAUCACAUGUCGAGGUGGAAAAACAAAGAUUUCCCCUCCACGAUUUUCAUUUAAUUAUUAAAAAUGAGCGUGUGUGUCUCUAAUAGGAGGGGAUGCUGCGCGUGGACCACGGCGUUCGGAUUAGACUUCUGAGUAAUAAAGCAGCUUCAGCUUUGACUCUUCUGUCGGAUUCAUCCGUGAGCCUCAUUCAUCGCUGCAUCUUUCUCUGCAGGAUUCGUUGCUUUUGAAUGUUUCAGUCGGUGAACUGAAGUUAUGAAAGCGGAAUAAAGCUCCGCGUCCUGCAGAAGGAUUCAACGCCGACUGCACUGCACCUGUUUGUGUCUCCUCGGCGGGUGAUUCUGGCCAGAUGAAUGAGGCACGUUUGCGUGUAAAUGACGCGUCCUGAGCUCGUUGGUGGGAUUAUGAGCGCCGGGAUUAUGGUUGUGCGUUCGAUGCCGCUGCUCCUCUGCAACGGGCUCAUUUCAUUUUGUCGCGGCUCAUUCUAAUUCCGUCCUCGGGUGACAUUUUCCCGUCACAGCGGGAAGAGUCUGUUCCCGUGAAUAGCGCAUUAGUGCAGAUAACAAGCGGCGGGAUGGCGGUUAAUGGCCACAAGUUUUCUUUUGACGGGGAUUCGUUACGCUGAGGAUUCACUGCGGUUUGUGUAUCAAUGAACCUCAUCCAGCAGAGGCCUCGCGCUUCUUUUGCCGCCUUCAGGCCAAACAGCGGCGUGGGUGUGAGUUGGCGCCGCGCACUCCGUCACCCACAAUGCAGCUUCCUCUGUUUCACUCGCUCACCUGACGCGGAGCACCGCUGACACCUUCAUAACUCGUGAUAUGAAUCAGCAGAAAGGGGGGGGGGGCAGAUUUGAAUUUGCCCACAUCCCGCUUCGGGGGCCUGACGGGGCUCUUUGAGCAGCAUUGUUAUGCGCAUGUGUCGGAUGGGAUUUCUCAGGGUCUUUGAUCACGUUUAGAACCCACUUUUAUGUAUUUCAGUCCGUAUCGGCUCACAGAACGAUUUUAACGGGGGGA